GCAGUCGAGCGAAUGGAUUAAGAGCUUGCUCUUAUGAAGUUAGCGGCGGACGGGUGAGUAACACGUGGGUAACCUGCCCAUAAGACUGGGAUAACUCCGGGAAACCGGGGCUAAUACCGGAUAACAUUUUGAACUGCAUGGUUCGAAAUUGAAAGGCGGCUUCGGCUGUCACUUAUGGAUGGACCCGCGUCGCAUUAGCUAGUUGGUGAGGUAACGGCUCACCAAGGCAACGAUGCGUAGCCGACCUGAGAGGGUGAUCGGCCACACUGGGACUGAGACACGGCCCAGACUCCUACGGGAGGCAGCAGUAGGGAAUCUUCCGCAAUGGACGAAAGUCUGACGGAGCAACGCCGCGUGAGUGAUGAAGGCUUUCGGGUCGUAAAACUCUGUUGUUACGGAAGAACAAGUGCUAGUUGAAUAAGCUGGCACCUUGACGGUACCUAACC
rnacentral:rRNA from 1 species